rnacentral:lncRNA from 1 species
GAAUCCCUGAUACAGCAAAAAUCUUCACAGCAGAGGAGUUGAAGAGGGCCACUAGAAACUAUGACGAGACUACAAUCUUGAGAUUAUAGGAAGAAAAUUGUUUUUAUUUUCUUACCUCUUGUGUAGUAAGUUACAGAGUUUAUAUAGUACAUAAUAUGAACAAUUAGACAUUUGAUUGUGCCCUCAAUUAUAUCCUAGAAUCAUGCUAUGCUAAACAUGGUAAGAUUUGAUCACUGAUUGAUUACAAUCAUGAUAGAGGAUCACUGAUUGAUUUACAAUCAUGGCCAAGGAUUCUUUCCAACACUCCCCCUCAAGUUGGUUCAUGUGGAUCUAACAUACCCAACUUGCCCAAAACCUCAUGGAAUAUUCGUCCAGCUACUGCUUUGGUUAGGAUGUCCGCCCAUUGAUCCUCUGAUCGAACAAACGGUAAAGAUAUCAGACCACUAUCUAACUUUUCUUUGAUGAAAUGUCGGUCUAUUUCAACAUGUUUUGUUCGAUCAUGCUGAACUGGAUUUUCAGAUAUGCUUAUUGCCGCCUUGUUGUCACAACGGAGUUCAGCUGCAUCCUUUGAUGGGAAUCCAAGCUCAAACAUCAACUUUCUGAUCCAUAGGAGUUUUGUCAGUCCUUUUGCUAUUCCCCUGAAUUCUGCUUCAGCACUAGACAGUGCCACCACCUUUUGUUUCUUACUUUUCCACGUUACCAAAUUUCCUCCGACAAAGGUAAAGUAUCCUGAAGUAGAUCGUCUGUCAGAGAGAUCUCUUGCCCAACUUGCAUUCGUAUAUCCACUGAUACUGAAAUGACCAUUCUUUUUGAACAACAUGCCUAUCCCAGCUGUUCCUUUCAGAUAUCGAACGAUUCUCAAUGUUGCCUCCAUAUGGUCUUGUUUUGGAUCAUGCAUGAACUGACUUACCAAACUCACAGCAUAUGCCACGUCUGGUCUGGUGUGUGAUAAAUAAAUCAGUUUUCCUACCAGUCUCUGGUACCUCCCCCUAUCUGUGGGUCCUUCUUUUGAGUCCUUGCUCAACUCGUGAUUGACCAUUACCGGAGUAUCGACUGGUUUGCAAUCUAUCAUUCCUGUUUCAGUUAACAGAUCAAGAAUGUACUUUCUCUGUGAUAUCAAAAUUCCCUGGUCUGAUCUGAGAACUUCGAUUCCAAGAAAAUAUUUUAGCAUCCCCAGGUCUUUCAUCUCAAAUUCUUGGAAUAAGUUGUCCCUCAGUUGUUUGAUUUCGUCCACAUCGUCUCCAGUUAUAAUCAUGUCAUCCACGUAUAUAAUCAAACACGUGAUCUUCCUUCCUUGCCUCUUCAAGAAUAGAGUGUGAUUGGAGUUACUCUGCCGAUAUCCAUUUUUCUUCAUUGCUUGAGUAAAUCUCCCAAACCAUGCUCUGGGUGACUGUUUCAACCCAUACAAGGCUCGCCUCAAUCUACACACUUCUCCCCUUCUAUAUCCACUCAUGAACCCUGGUGGAGCAUCCAUAUAUACUUCCUCUUCUAGAUCACCAUGCAAGAAAGCAUUUUUCACAUCAAAUUGGUGAAGUGGCCAGUCUAGGUUUGCAGCUAGAGAGAAUAGGACCCGUAUUGUAUCAAUUUUUGCUACUGGAGAGAAUGUUUCAGAAUAGUCAACUCCAUAAGUCUGAGUAUAUCCUUUUGCUACAAGUCUAGCUUUAUAUCUGUCCACCGUUCUGUCUGACUUAUACUUUAUGGUAAACACCCAUUUGCAUCCCACUGGUCGUUUUCCCUUGGGUAGCCAGCAUUUUUCCCAGGUCUUGUUUUUCUCCAGGGCAUCCAUCUCGAUCUCCAUUGCCUCAACCCAUCUUUUGUCCUUUUGGGCCUCUGUGGCAUCCUUUGGUAUCCAUUCUGAGCAAAUGGAUUUCUGUAGGUUGACCAACUGAGGUGAUAGUCUUUCUCCUUUGGUAACGUUUGCCACAGGGUAUCUGGACCUGGCUGCCUCGAAUUCUGGAUCAUAUCUCCUGGGUGGAAUUCUUCUAUUAUUCUGAGGGGGUAGAAUAUAUUGGCCUAUUUCAGGAACCUCAAGGGAAAUGGGUUCAGUGGUAAGGUUAUUAGAAAUAGGGGAAAGUUCAGAUUCACAUACCUCAGUUGUGUGUUCCUCAGGAUAUUCUACGGUGUCAGGUUCUGGUUGUGACGUUGAGACCGAGGACUGUACUAAAUAGUCAGUGUCUCCCAGUUCUGGUGUAGACUCAGGAAGAGAAGAAUAAUCAAGUUCUGGCCCCCCCUGACUAAGCCAAUUUGGCAGUGAUGGUGAUUGUGCCGUUGUCUCCCCCUCACUGCUAGUUGGCGAGGGAAAAAAUAUUCCUCUUCCAGAAAGGUGCAGUCCAUGGUAGUGAAGAGCCGUUUAGAGAUUGGGUCAAAACGCCGAUAGCCCUUUUUAUGGACACCAUAACCAAAGAAAACACACUUAAGAGCACAUGGAUCAAGUUUAGUGCGGUGUGUUUUAGGAAUGUGAACAUAAACUAUGCAACCAAAGAUUUUAGGUGGAAGGUUGAGAUGGGAAGGGAUGGUGUGAUGAGAGGACAAGGUAUGCAAGGGAGAUUGGGAAUUAAGGAUGCGAGACGGAAGUCGAUUGAUGAGGUAAAUGGAUGUGGCAACUGCUUCAGUCCAAAACUUAGGAGGAACUCGGGCUUCAAACAAUAGGGCUCGGGCAGUCUCAAGGAUAUGUCGAUUUUUCCUUUCAGCAACCCCAUUUUGCUGUGGUGUAUAAGGACAAAUAGUUUGGUGAAGUAUCCCAUUAUCCCGAAAAAAGGUUUGGAGAUGGUUAUUGACAAAUUCCCCCCAUUGUCAGAUCGGAGAACUUGAAUGGUCUUAUGAAAUUGGGUUUUAAUCAUGCGGAAAAAAUCACAGAAUUUCUCAGCCACUUCACUUUUUUGUUUUAACAGGUAAACCCAAGUAACACGAGUGCAAUCAUCAAUAAAAGUCACAAAGUAUCUAUAAUCAGGGGAGACAGUUUCCGGGGCAGGCCCCCAUACAUCAGAGUGUAUUAUUGAGAAGGGAGUAUCAGAUUUAUUUGUGGAUAUAUGAUAAGUACUCUUAUGACUCUUAGCAAGCACGCAUGAAGUACAAACUGGAAUGUCAAUGGAUUUAAAUUCAGGAAACAAAGUACGAAGAUAAUCACUUAAGGGAUGGCCGUAGCGCCGGUGCCAGAGCCAUAACUGUCGGGUUGAGGACCCUUGAGCUAAAUGAGCUGACCCAGUACUUGAGAUCUCCUCCACAUAGUACAGUCGAUCUUUCUCAGUACCACGGCCCAGUACCGUGCCCGUAUGAAUAUCCUGCAAAACACAAAAAUGAGGAUACAUGAGUACUCUGCAAUUUAACUGUUUGGUGAUCUGACUGACAGAGAGUAAUUUGCAAGAUAAGGAAGGUACAUAGAGGCAGUUGGAGACAUUUAAAGUGGGGGUUAUAGAAACGGUACCACCAUCGAUGACCGGAAAGGAGCCACCGGUAGCGUUUAGAAUAUUGGAUUUUGAGGGUGGGGCUGACACAAAAAAAUCUGAAGAAUCAUUAGUCAUAGUGUCUGUGGCUCCUGAAUCAAAUAUCCACCCACUAGUAUUUUGUACCUUGUUAGCAUGACCGAUAGAAUUAAGGGCUAACGAUUCAGUUUUGGGAUUACAAACAAACUUAUCUAAACCAUCAGAGACCAGGGAUUUAAUUUCACAAGAAUUAAAACAAGCAGAGGCACAUUUAGAUUUAUUUAAAGAGACAGGGGUAGAAAGGUCAUUUGCCCUCCUUUCUAACCCUAAAAUACCUCCUUCCUGAUUAUAAGGGGCACCCGUGCCUCCUCCUUUCGCGGCUCCUUGUAGCGCCGUGAUAAACAUCUCCAUCAUCUUUGCCCAGAUAACAUAAUUGGAAUCAUUCAAUUUUAUGUCGGACGGUGGCUGUGCUGAAUCAAGAGUGAAUUGGUUUACUGAUUUUUUAUUUCCAUCUUGGCUAUUCUGAAUUAACUGGAAUAGUUUUUGUGACAGGUCUGCUAUUGGAUCAAUUAUUGUCUGGGACUGGUCAACCGGGCUGUGGAGGUCGGCCAUUGUUGUUUUGGUGAGAGAAAGAAAUUGGAAAAGAUAUCUGGUAAAGGAUUAUUGCAGGACGGCUAUAUUUUUAUACCGAAACCUGCUCUGAUACCAUCUGAGAUUAUAGGAAGAAAACUGUUUUUAUUUUCUUACCUCUUGUGUAGUAAGUUACAGAGUUUAUAUAGUACAUAAUAUGAACAAUUAGACCUUUGAUUGUGCCCUCAAUUAUAUCCUAGAAUCAUGCUAUGCUAAACAUGAUAAGAUUUGAUCACUGAUUGAUUACAAUCAUGAUAGAGGAUCACUGAUUUAUUUACAAUCAUGCCCGAGGAUUCUUUCCAACAUACAAUCAUUGGCAAAGGAGGUUUCGGUACUGUUUAUAAAGGAAUUUUAACAGAUAAUAGAAUAGUUGCCAUCAAGAAAUCAAUAACAGUUGAUCAAAACCAAGUUGAUCAAUUCAUUAAUGAAGUGGUGGUGCUGUCUCAAAUUAACCACAAGAAUGUGGUCAGGCUCUUGGGUUGUUGUUUAGAGACGCC